GUGGUCUUGGUGCGUACGGUUGUGGUGCUUGCUGCUGGCUGCUGUUCGCCUGCUGGACGUCGGAGACUGGGCCGGAACUGAGGUCGCACCUGGGAGAUUCCGUUCCGUUCCGUGUCGUGAGGUUGCCAAUUUUACGGGCGGAGUAGAGUGGUGAAAAGAGAGGGAAAGUGUUGAUAAAAAACAAAAUGGAUAACUAACUGUGUCCACGGAGUAAUGGAGGACCGUUUCUCGGAUUUUAUAAAUUAGAAUUUCGGCGACCUUCAGCCCGGCAGUCAGCGAGUCAGCGGAGUUCCAGCCCGGCUAACAAAAUACUUCUGCUGCUGCUGCUGCUGCUGCUGCUGCUGCUUCUUCUUGAGGAAAAGCCGCCGCACCGGACUACCGGAGCUGCGCACUGUAUGUUUUGUGCUAUUUUCGCUUUGCUUCUUUGCCUCUGAUGCACACGACGAGAAACGAGAACAUGAAUGGCGCUCGCGGCGGGUGCUUCUACCGGAACCCGGAAUUAAACGAACAUGAAAAGUAAAGAUUGCUGCGCUGUUCAUUCAUUUCACGGCAAACCGUGCGCUAAAAGGUGUUUUAUUGGUGGCUUCCAGGGGUAUGGGGUGCCUUUCUGUGGCGCUAGGUUAGCACCACGAUGUCCAAGGACGCGGUUUGCUGCACCAGUAAGUAUAAAGGUUCAAGGUUGACUUGGGAGCCUACCCCAGUAAUUUUGACUUCGUCUUGAUUACAUGCGUAUGCGAGAGUGAAAAGAGAAAGGCAACCCACUCGGUAUUCCCGGCGACCGGAUCCGCCACCCCGGACCAUAUUCCUUGCGGCCAUGUGGUCGGAAACGAACGGACGGGUCUCCUAGAGGUAAGAUUUCAUGCCACCCAGAGAGCGAUGGACCGAAAAAGGGUUUCAUUUUCUCUUCACAAAAAAAAACAAAUGCACAAGAAACGGAAUCCCCCCUCGACCUUCGUGACCGGUGCAGACAGCCCUCGGUGCAGACGAACUUUCACUUUCUUCCGGGCCACAACUCUUCACUGCGCUGGCUGUUGGCGGUGUGCUCCUCCUUCCUCCCCCCCCCCCUCUCAUGUUUCCUCGGAUCGAGGAACGAAACAAUCGAAACAAUCAAUCGUACCAUUGCGAAUCGGAUUGGAAGUCGAGGUAUUUUUGUUUAGCUGCUUCCCGCCGUCACAACGCCAACGCCAGUACGCAUCGCAUCGCUUGCGAUUGCAUCAUAAGUCCGGCAGCUGAGCAGCCCCUCUGAGUUGGUGCAUCUGCAGCAACUGUUUGCAUAAACUAUGGCACGGUACCCAAGAUGGUACGCAUCGCAUGUUUUCUGCAAACACUGCUGGUGGACAAAAGGGCCCCAUGGCUUGCUAGCCUAGCGUGCCUAUCUGCUGCCAUGCAUCGCCCAACACAAUCAGCAAAGUGGAACAGAAAGGUACCAUCGCGGUUCGGUCUGUUAGAAUGCGAACCAGACCGGAAUGAACCGGGGGAAGAGUUAGGGGAACGGCUUUCAGUUGAGUAUUGUCUGUCUUGGGUGGCAGUUGUUGUUGGCUAGUAAAGUUGAUUGAAAAAAACUGCGAACGUUAUUCGAACUUAACAAUUACAGCCAAGCGUCGUUGUGCGUGGUGUGUUUACCGCUAUUUAUAGAUUAAUCAAAAAGAGGGGGGGGACGCGUCACCGCGACCGCGUGCCAUCUGUUACUCCCUGCUCCUGCUCCCUAGGGGAGCGCAACUGCUUACACUUUUUUGUACUGCUACGGCCUUACACCUUCGCUAUAAGGAUUCUACUAGCACUAACACUAAAACACUCUCUCUCUCUCUCUCUCUCUCUCUCUCUCUCUCUCUCUCUCUCUCUCUCUCUCUCUCUCUCUCUCUCUCUCUCUCUGCUGCUGCUGCUGCUGCUCUGUGACUUUUGGUGCGGAAACGUCGGCGUUCGGCGACGGCAUUCCGCUGGCGAUGUCACGUGCGAUGGUAGCCCUUUUUCUCCUCGAAAACCGCAACGGCCGCAAACCUCCAAAAAGGCCGCCGAAUAAAUUAAUUGUUUCGAAAUGCGAAAUGGAUAGCAACGAAAUGCGAAAUGGAUAAAGGGGGGCCGAAAGCAGCAAAGCGUCCCAACGAGCGACUGUGCCGAGCGUCAAGAACAACAACAUCGAAAAUGACAAACAAAAAAAAAUUGAAAUUCUGUUAAAUUUAGUUCGUACUUAUACCUACAAGAAGAACACCUCACCAUACGCUAACCACGAAACAGACUUACUGUACUACAUAAUUAAAACGCUAUAACUACUGCUACACACUGCUGCUCCUAACUUCUUUUUUUUAUGGUUCGUUCAUUCAUUCAUUUAAAAAAAAAAACACAAAAUACACACGUUCGCAAACCGGGUGGACUUACAGACUAAUUGAGUGACAAGAAGGGGGGAUGACCUGACCGAUCAUCGUGGGGUGCGGGGGGGGGGGGGGGGAGUGGUAGGAAGUGGAAAAAUGGAGCGGGUAAAAUGGUACACCGGUGUGCAGGGCGCGAAUCGAACGAAUUCCAUUACCACUCCGGUAUCGCUUCGUGUGUUCGCUACCACAAUCGGCAGUAUCUACAGGUUACUACUCAUACUCGUCCUCGCCUUUUAUCCUGCCUGUCAACCGCGUGUGCCUAGCCCUAUAUAUCUUACACUGGCCGCAUAUGGUUACAGUUUAGACAGCGCAGCGUUCAGCAGUAGCGUAGGCAGGCGUAGGCAGGCGUAGACAGGCGCUUCUCUAUCCCGCAGUUGCCGCCCCGUGCGUGGAACUGUCGUGGAACGAAUGUGCCAACGAAUCAAUGGGUUUUGUGGUUACGGUUGUGGUUAGUUUGCUAAAAGGGAUUGUUGGUUGUUUGAGGGUGGAGGGUGGGGCUAAGGUUAUUGCUAAGUGGCACCUUGUCCAGUGGGGCGCUAACGUAAAGCUACCAGGACGAGUGAGGUUUGCUCCCUCAGUAGGGGAAGGAAGGCUUAUAUGUAGUAGAAAGGGGUUAAGGAAAUCAAAAGGGUUUUUUUUUCGCAACACGAGGAAAUAAAUAACAGUAAUAACCGGUGCCUUCGACUCGUCUACAUUCUACACACCGAACCGCCGUAUUUUUUAUACACACAACACAUGGAAACAUUAAGAUGAAAGGGUUUAUAGAGUGUUUAGAGUAAGAACGGUGGUAAGUGUUUGUGGCAGAGAUAGAGCGAUAGAAAGGAAAGAAGCACUCUGAGACAGAAAGAUACAGCUCCAAACACAGACACACGCCCAAGGGCCAGCGGAAAAAAAACGCUGACACAUGGCUGUCUAUUCCCGUAGGGCGAUAACGGGUCCGGUCCAUCUGUCCAUGGACAGGCACCGUCAGAUGUGAUCUAAAAAAAAAAAAAAAAAACAAACAAAACGCUUCACGCGAUCGUUAUCGUCCUACGGGAAUCAAGACACCAGGACACCCCAUCGGACAAUCGGUAGUAAAUGCUAGUGGAAAAGGGAAGCGCAGAGUGGAUCCACGGUUUUUCAUGCGGAUGGUGUACUACUCGGGAACACACGCUCGUCCAUGCCGUUUACGAUCAUCGCCGUUGGGUUUAGGGAGCCGCCAUGCCGCAAGCUCACUGUCGACUUGUGUAUGUUGCUGCUGCUGCGUUUGCUGCUGCUGCUGCCUGUGCCCGCUCGCACGUUGGCG